GAUGAACGCUGGCGGCGUGCCUAACACAUUCAAGUCGAACGGUGACGGGGGCUUCGGUCCCCUGAUCAGUGGCGGACGGGUGAGUAACGCGUGAGCAACCUGCCUUUCAGUGGGGGAUAACACAGGGAAACUUGUGCUAAUACCGCAUGACACAUUUUUAGGGCAUCCUUGAAAUGUCAAAGAUUUAUUGCUGAAAGAUGGGCUCGCGUCCGAUUAGAUAGUUGGUGAGGUAACGGCCCACCAAGGCGACGAUCAGUAGCCGGUCUGAGAGGAUGAACGGCCACAUUGGGACUGAGAUACGGCCCAGACUCCUACGGGAGGCAGCAGUGGGGAAUAUUGGGCAAUGGGCGAAAGCCUGACCCAGCAACGCCGCGUGAAGGAAG
rnacentral:rRNA from 1 species